GACGAACGCUGGCGGCGUGCCUAAUACAUGCAAGUCGAGCGGACGAUUCGAAAGCUUGCUUUUGAAUCGUUAGCGGCGGACGGGUGAGUAACUCGUGGGCAACCUGCCCUGUAGACGGGGAUAACACCGAGAAAUCGGUGCUAAUACCGGAUAACACGAAAUGUCGCAUGACGUUUCGUUGAAAGGCGGCGCAAGCUGCCGCUACAGGAUGGGCCCGCGGCGCAUAAGCUAGUUGGUGAGGUAACGGCUCACCAAGGCGACGAUGCGUAGCCGACCUGAGAGGGUGAUCGGCCACACUGGGACUGAGACACGGCCCAGACUCCUACGGGAGGCAGCAGUAGGGAAUCUUCCGCAAUGGACGAAAGUCUGACGGAGCAACGCCGCGUGAGCGAAGAAGGCCUUCGGGUCGUAAAGCUCUGUUGUUAGGGAAGAACAAGUAACGUAGUAACUGACGUUACUAUGACGGUACCUAACGAGAAAGCCACGGCUAACUACGUG
rnacentral:rRNA from 1 species